rnacentral:lncRNA from 1 species
UACAUUCUUUGGUCUUUACAACGUUUUGGGUCGUGGCUGUAAAACCCCCCGACAGUUCAACCGUUUUGACCACUUGGUAUUCAAUCAUAUGACUCAGAUGGGGGAAACAGACUAUUCAACUUAUAUACGUUGAUUUCAAUCUUCGCUAGGAUUUGGGAUUUGAUACCAUUUGCUGCAUCUGGUAAACGGAUCGGAUCCUUUCACGUUUCA